GUUUUAUCCUGGCAUGUUCAUCGAGGCAACCCCGAACUUUGAAUGCGAGUACUUGAGUGACACGGGCAUCUUUGCGUUCUGUUACUCAGAACAGCUACCCGUUGCGCAUUGCGUUCGCUCCUUGUACCGUGCCUUGGAGUUCAAUUGCCCCUCAGGGAACUACCCCUGCCGUCUCGGGCGUACAUUCUUUUCAUGUUCCGAGUUGCCUGAAUCAGUAAUUGACUCGUAGAUAUAACAGUCCCACGUCCCACGACCCGCGUCGCGAUACAGUCGAUAACAAUGGUGAUUUUUUCGAGAAUAUCGUCACAUUUUUUUUUUCUUCUAUUAUUGAUUUUCCACCAGACCAUUAGUCGAAUUAAUUUUCUCGACGACAAAAUAUUGACUCCUUGAUCGAAGAAACCCUCCAUCCAUCAUGCAUGCAGAUCGAAUGAUUCUUUCAAAUCGACUGAAUUGUAAGAUCAUAUUCUCUGACCAACUUCCAUAAGACACGCCAAGUGAACGUGAAGCCGGAGUAUAGUUUUAAUUUCCCGGGAUCUACGGAGGCCGCGAAUUUAGUAAUAUUUCUCGGCACAUUUAUCGCGAAGCAUGCUUGGCUACCAACAACCUGAACAUAAACCGCCUCUCACCGGCCUUACACCGACACUUUGGCGAUCGUAAUACCUAUGGACGAAUGUGCAUACCUAUAAGUAUGUACUAUGGCGGUAUACGAAAUCUUUGGCAGCGACCGUGUAUCAAUUUGACCUAGACUUCCUUAUAAUUAUAACAGCUACCGUACACCAAUGACCAAACAGUUGGCUUCCACCUUGUGAGAUGUACAAAAAUGGACUUGGCAAACUGCGGCAAUCUCGAAAAAAAGGAAAACAGGGCCGUACCUUUUACUACGUUCGCAAAACGAAAGCAUGCUGUAGCCGCAAGAAGACGCGACUGGUAGAAUCAGCAUGAAAAUCAGAAUCGUUCACCUUUUAGGACAGCGUUAUAGGUUACUUUAGGGCGCGGUUCACAUUACUGUACGUCAGCGGGGAUUGGAAGGCUCAACAAGCCUUCAAAACGUUAUCAACUCGUGGAAUACGCUCCUCGGUGAGAUGAGGAUUUAUCAUCAGGCUUUCGAAAUGGUAAACGCACGAUUGGUGUACAAACGACAGAUACUGUUUUCCUCAAGUGACGUACAUUAUUUGGAAAUUCGUCCCGUCGCGUGUCUCCGAUGAAAUUUUCUCACAUCGAAAACUAUUAUUAUCCGAGAAUUAACGGACAAGGGGCGCUUCCUGUCUCAUCCUACUUAUUCAGUUAUUCGGACACGUAUGAAACGUUUGUUUCUCUACAUUCGGUAACUGCGGGACACAACGAUUCUUGGCCGCCGAUCGUCGGGAUCGUUUGUACGCACCAUUCAUCGAUACCGCACUGGUCCUGAUAUUACAAAAAAACGUAACGAACGAAAAACCGUUGCCGUUGCUAGUGGAAGAGCCAAUGGAAUGAAUUGUGAUUCAAUGCGAAAGAAAGGACGGCUAACGAUUGAAUUUGGAAUGUCGCGGGCGCGGCUCUGCCAUCCGGUUAAAUACGCCGUUGGGAGCUCGUACAACGUUGAAUAACGUAGGUGAAUACAUUAUACAUAUCGUUAUUAUACAUUCAGGGCAGGACGCUGUCUAUCUCUUUCCCAUGUACUCGGCCGACAUCAACCGUUUGUUCGAACACAACGUAGGACCAUCCCGCGCACGCAAUGAAAAGCAAAAUUGCCGGAGGCGACAAUCGGUUGAGACAAUUUGGCACCGGUGUCUAUGAAUUAUUCCAGCAUCUUUACCAUCAGGGGCGACCUUUCGGCACGCAACACACACGCGCACAAGCUGUGCCGUGUAAAAAAUGUGUAUACGCCUACGGUUGUGUAUACCAUCCUUGACCACUGAUCAAAACAACAUCGAGCUUUGUGCCGCUAUAGGCGUAUAAUCUCGACGUUCCAUCUGCGCACCGCUCUCACAUUUCUAUCGAAAAUAUCAUAUAGCUCACGGCGAUUGCUGUUCUAAUUCAUAUUGUACAGCUAUAUCGUAUCACUCUCCGUCGCGGCAACAUGCUGCGAGUGCCGAAUCUCGAUUCUCAUUUCACCUGUUCAACCGAACAACCGAUCUAAGUACGAUCCGAUCGAGAGGCCGACUGUUAGAUAGAUAUUGGAAAUUAUUUACGCAAAUUGCGUGUACCUAUAUAAAAACGCACAACGCUUUUUCAAAUACUCUUUUUAUCCCCUCCUAAUUGUCUUCCAAACCACGAUAUAAUAAUUAUGAUAAGUCAGCAGAAAGUGAAGGCGAGAGAGGGGGAAAGAAAGUCCAGAAUAAGAGCGGUCUCGAUUUCAGUUCGCGAACGUCCAGAAUGA
rnacentral:lncRNA from 1 species